rnacentral:rRNA from 1 species
UACGUAGGGGGCAAGCGUUGUCCGGAAUUAUUGGGCGUAAAGAGCUCGUAGGCGGCUCGUUGCGUCGGCUGUGAAAACCCGCAGCUUAACUGUGGGCCUGCAGCCGAUACGGGCGGGCUGGAGUUCGGUAGGGGAGACUGGAAUUCCUGGUGUAGCGGUGAAAUGCGCAGAUAUCAGGAGGAACACCGGUGGCGAAGGCGGGUCUCUGGGCCGAUACUGACGCUGAGGUGCGAAAGCGUGGGGAGCAAACAGG